UACGUAGGGAGCAAGCGUUGUCCGGAAUCAUUGGGCGUAAAGGAGCGCGUAGGCGGUCCGGUAAGUCGGUUGUGAAAACUGGGGGCUCAACCCUCAGACGCCGACCGAUACUGUCGGGCUAGAGUCCGGAAGAGGCGAGUGGAAUUCCUGGUGUAGCGGUGAAAUGACGCAGAUAUCAGGAGGAACACCAAUGGCGAAGGCAGCUCGCUGGGACGGUACUGACGCUGAGGAGCGAAAGCGUGGGGAGCGAACAGG
rnacentral:rRNA from 1 species